GUGAACGCUGGCGGCGUGCCUAAUACAUGCAAGUCGAGCGAACUGAUUAGAAGCUUGCUUCUAUGACGUUAGCGGCGGACGGGUGAGUAACACGUGGGCAACCUGCCUGUAAGACUGGGAUAACUUCGGGAAACCGAAGCUAAUACCGGAUAGGAUCUUCUCCUUCAUGGGAGAUGAUUGAAAGAUGGUUUCGGCUAUCACUUACAGAUGGGCCCGCGGUGCAUUAGCUAGUUGGUGAGGUAACGGCUCACCAAGGCAACGAUGCAUAGCCGACCUGAGAGGGUGAUCGGCCACACUGGGACUGAGACACGGCCCAGACUCCUACGGGAGGCAGCAGUAGGGAAUCUUCCGCAAUGGACGAAAGUCUGACGGAGCAACGCCGCGUGAGUGAUGAAGGCUUUCGGGUCGUAAAACUCUGUUGUUAGGGAAGAACAAGUACAAGAGUAACUGCUCGUACCUUGACGGUACCUAACCAGAAAGCCACGGCUAACUACGUGCCAGCAGCCGCGGUAAUACGUAGGUGGCAAGCGUUAUCCGGAAUUAUUGGGCGUAAAGCGCGCGCAGGCGGUUUCUUAAGUCUGAUGUGAAAGCCCACGGCUCAACCGUGGAGGGUCAUUGGAAACUGGGGAACUUGAGUGCAGAAGAGAAAAGCGGAUUCCACGUGUAGCGGUGAAAUGCGUAGAGAUGUGGAGGAACACCAGUGGCGAAGGCGGC
rnacentral:rRNA from 1 species